UACGUAGGGGGCGAGCGUUGUCCGGAGUUACUGGGCGUAAAGGGCACGCAGGCGGUCAUGUAAGUCUGUUCUGACAGCUCCUGGCUCAACCGGGAGAGGCGAACGGAAACUGUGUGACUUGAGGACUUCAGAGGGACACGGAAUUCCGGGUGGAGUGGUGAAAUGCGUAGAGAUCCGGAGGAACACCAAAGGCGAAGGCAGUGUCCUGGGAAGUACCUGACGCUCAGGUGCGAAAGCCAGGGGAGCGAACGGG
rnacentral:rRNA from 1 species